rnacentral:rRNA from 1 species
GACGGAGGGUGCGAGCGUUAAUCGGAAUUACUGGGCGUAAAGCGCACGCAGGCGGUUUGUUAAGCUAGAUGUGAAAGCCCCGGGCUCAACCUGGGAUGGUCAUUUAGAACUGGCAGACUAGAGUCUUGGAGAGGGGAGUGGAAUUCCAGGUGUAGCGGUGAAAUGCGUAGAUAUCUGGAGGAACAUCAGUGGCGAAGGCGACUCCCUGGCCAAAGACUGACGCUCACGUGCGAAAGUGUGGGUAGCGAACAGG